rnacentral:rRNA from 1 species
GAUGAACGCUGGCGGCGUGCCUAAUACAUGCAAGUCGAGCGAACAGACGAGGAGCUUGCUCCUCUGACGUUAGCGGCGGACGGGUGAGUAACACGUGGAUAACCUACCUAUAAGACUGGGAUAACUUCGGGAAACCGGAGCUAAUACCGGAUAAUAUAUUGAACCGCAUGGUUCAAUAGUGAAAGACGGUUUUGCUGUCACUUAUAGAUGGAUCCGCGCCGCAUUAGCUAGUUGGUAAGGUAACGGCUUACCAAGGCGACGAUGCGUAGCCGACCUGAGAGGGUGAUCGGCCACACUGGAACUGAGACACGGUCCAGACUCCUACGGGAGGCAGCAGUAGGGAAUCUUCCGCAAUGGGCGAAAGCCUGACGGAGCAACGCCGCGUGAGUGAUGAAGGUCUUCGGAUCGUAAAACUCUGUUAUUAGGGAAGAACAAAUGUGUAAGUAGCUAUGCACGUCUUGACGGUACCUAAUCAGAAAGCCACGGCUAACUACGCG